rnacentral:rRNA from 1 species
UAAAGAAAGCGUAAUAGAUCACUGGUCGAGUCGGCCUGCGCGGAAGAUGUAGCGGGGCUAAACCAUGCACCGAAGCUGCGGCAGCGACACUGUGUGUUGUUGGGUAGGGGAGCGUUCUGUAAGCCUGUGAAGGUGGCCUGUGAGGGUUGCUGGAGGUAUCAGAAGUGCGAAUGCUGACAUAAGUAACGAUAAAGCGGGUGAAAAGCCCGCUCGCCGGAAGACCAA